UACGUAGGGUGCGAGCGUUAAUCGGAAUUACUGGGCGUAAAGAGUGCGUAGGCGGUUGCGCAAGUCCGCUGUGAAAUCCCCGGGCUCAACCUGGGAAUGGCAGUGGAAACUAGGCGACUUGAAUCUGGCAGAGGGGGGUGGAAUUCCACGUGUAGCAGUGAGAUGCGUAGAGAUGUGGAGGAACACCGAUGGCGAAGGCAGCCCCCUGGGCUGAGAUUGACGCUCAGGCACGAAAGCGUGGGGAGCAAACAGG
rnacentral:rRNA from 1 species